CAGUAUCCUUAAGCAAAUUAUUAUACUUAUAAUAAUAAGAAACAAGUUGCAACAGUACCAAGUCAAAGGACAUGUCUUAGGAAGUGUAAAGUGACGGUAUGGUUUCUACAAACUGGACAAUGGGAUUCGCACGAAUGAUUCAUGACCACAAGAUAGCACAAUAGGCUUAUACAAACGCAACAAUCAAAGGAUUUGUGGAUCACUUGUUGUUUGUUUACAAGAAGCUGCUCAUCCUUCAAUGUGUUAUCAUUCUUAUAAAUAACUGCAUCCUUUCCAUCAUGUUUAUUGAGAAAUGAUUUAUAUGAAGCAGAUAAAUUGUCUUGGUGUAAUAUAAGCAGACAAAAUUUGGGAAGAAGAGAGGCACAUAAGGAAAAUGUCUUUGUGCUUCCACGUGAGAGGUUUACAGACUUUCUCAAACCAUUUUCUCUUAAUCCCACAAUGAGAUGCUAAGACAACAUGUACAAGAACGUAAAUAGCCAAGCUAGUGAUGUGCUUCUAACCCUGUCAGAAGUAUAGACUUCCCGGUAACUUCCCUUGUUACCCCAAGAAAUAAACCAUAUCUUAACGUUUCCUUCGGAGUCGAAACAAUCACCCCGCCUUCCGUCACCACAAUCUCCUUCCUUGGCGGUUUUUUCGUUUGUCUCUCUCCUUCGCACAUGAUCAACUCAUGGUAUCCUUGCAUCAACAACAAUAACUCUCUUGGAUUUAUGAUUUACGGUUCGACAUAAUUACGAGUUGUAUUGUGGUUUGAGGCUUUGUAACUUGCAUACCAAAUGUUCGGUGAAUUGCUUCAACCAAGUUUUUUCUCUUUUUUCCUUGUUUCGAUUCCGUUACGGAUUCUCUUUUCUCACUAUUUUUGGAUUAUGAAUCGGUUGUCAAGUUUGAUAAUGGUUUCUUGAAUGGCUUUCAAGUUGAUUUUGGUUUGGGAAAUUGGUUUAGUAAUGAAUUCUUUUUCUUUUUUCUAUUUGCGGUUUCUUGCAAUUUAUGGUGAAUUUGAUGAAGGUUGAAAUUGGUGAUGAAAGAGGUCAAAUUUUGGUGCUGAAUUUUCUAUGAUUUGUGCUCAUGGCAAGAUUUAGAUUUUCACGAUAAUCGUCUAUUUAAGAUGAAAAGUAAGGCAAAUACAUAAACAAGCAUGCAAAGAUAACUCAAACAAGCAAGUAAUCAUAGAAGGCAUAAGCAAGCAAGCGUUCAUGGAGUGGUAAAUGGAGUUUGAGGCUUACCGAUCGGAGACCCUCUGAUGGUUCUUCAAUGACGAUGCAAAUUCAAUAUGCAUGGUACAUGGUAAUGAAGCAUGAACAAGCAUGGUCAAGAAUGGAGUAUGAAUGAAGACCAUUGAAUAACUUGGAAUUAUUUUUAUUCUUUUGUGUACGGAAAUUAUGUAGUAUGUUUGUAAUGACAUAAAGUCAUGUAAAGUGAAGUCAUGUAAAUGUAAAAAUAAUAUUUAGUGACUUUUGAACCUUAUGUACAUGGAUUGAAAGACCAUGAAUAAAAAAGGGAAUUAUAGCUCAAA